rnacentral:rRNA from 1 species
CUACGGGUGGCAGCAGUGGGGAAUAUUGCACAAUGGGCGCAAGCCUGAUGCAGCCAUGCCGCGUGUAUGAAGAAGGCCUUCGGGUUGUAAAGUACUUUCAGCGGGGAGGAAGGGAGUAAAGUUAAUACCUUUGCUCAUUGACGUUACCCGCAGAAGAAGCACCGGCUAACUCCGUGGCCAGCAGCCGCGGUAAUACGGAGGGUGCAAGCGUUAAUCGGAAUUACUGGGCGUAAAGCGCACGCAGGCGGUUUGUUAAGUCAGAUGUGAAAUCCCCGGGCUCAACCUGGGAACUGCAUCUGAUACUGGCAAGCUUGAGUAUCGUAGAGGGGGGUAGAAUUCCAGGUAUAGCGGUGAAAUGCGUAGAGAUCUGGAGGAAUACCGGUGGCGAAGGCGGCCCCCUGGACGAAGACUGACGCUCAGGUGCGAAAGCGUGGGGAGCAAACAGGAUUAGAUACCCGAGUAGUC